GGUAUAGACCCGAAACCCGGUGAUCUAGCCAUGGGCAGGUUGAAGGUUGGGUAACACUAACUGGAGGACCGAACCGACUAAUGUUGAAAAAUUAGCGGAUGACCUGUGGCUGGGGGUGAAAGGCCAAUCAAACCGGGAGAUAGCUGGUUCUCCCCGAAAGCUAUUUAGGUAGCGCCUCGUGAAUUCAUCUCCGGGGGUAGAGCACUGUUUCGGCUAGGGGGCCAUCCCGGCUUACCAACCCGAUGCAAACUGCGAAUACCGGAGAAUGUUAUCACGGGAGACACACGGCGGGUGCUAACGUCCGUCGUGAAGAGGGAAACAACCCAGACCGCCAGCUAAGGUCCCAAAGUCAUGGUUAAGUGGGAAACGAUGUGGGAAGGCCCAGACAGCCAGGAUGUUGGCUUAGAAGCAGCCAUCAUUUAAAGAAAGCGUAAUAGCUCACUGGUCGAGUCGGCCUGCGCGGAAGAUGUAACGGGGCUAAACCAUGCACCGAAGCUGCGGCAGCGA
rnacentral:rRNA from 2 species